GUGUGAUAUAGCUACGAUUAGCUACAGUGAAAAAAUGCAUCCAAAUGUGUCAUCUGAGCUGCUGCAGUCCUGCUACGAUGAGGUCAGUGGAAAAGAUGGACCCUGAAUAUAUGCAAACCAUCUGUACUUGGAUUUGUGAAUGAAGCAUUGGCCUCUGGCUGCUGUACCCGGAGCUGCUGGCUUUGCUGGGAACAGAAUGACCAGCACAGAGCUCUGGAGCCUCAGCUGAGACCUGAUGUAAGGAUGUCCAGCGCUGUGCAAGUGUCAACUCAUUACCUGGGAGCACAAAACUAUCCCUGGAGAUAACACUUAUGUCAACCC
ensembl:lncRNA